GUUGCAGAAGUGGUGCAAGAAGCAGGACAAGUUCAUCAACAAAUGCCUGAAGAGUAUCAAGUCUUUGAAGGCCAUAGUUAGC
rnacentral:pre_miRNA from 1 species